rnacentral:SRP_RNA from 1 species
GCUGGGCACAGUGGCACAUGCCUGUAGUCCCAGCUACUGGGAGGCUGAGGUGGGAGGAUUGCUUGAGCUCAGGAGUUCUGGGCUGUAGUGUGCUAUGCCAAUCGGGUGUCUGCACUAAGUUCGGCAUCAAUAUGGUGACCUCCCGGUAGUGGGGGACCACCAGGUUGCCUAAGGAGGGGUGAACUGGCCAAGGUUGGAAACAGAGCAGGUCAAAAAAACUCCAUGUUGAUCAGUAGUGGGAUUGUGCCUGUGAAUAGCCACUGUGCUCCAGUCUGGGCAACAGAGCAAGACCUUGUCUCU